UUCCUCUACUGCCAGAGGCACACACAGGCACGGGAGCUGUUAGUGUCUUGCCUGGCUGUGUGUCCUCAUUACGUUAACGGCUACGAAAACAUAGCCUUAGCCCAGGGCCACCUUGAACAGUGCUCCCACUGAGGACACUGCCCACCUCAGGUCUUGCUCAGCCCAGAUGGCUCUGACACUCUUGACUCCUGGGUGCCAGUCCCAGCUUCUGCUAACCAGCUCCCUGAAGGAUGUUUCCAGCAUCUCUCCCCGUGUGGAUGUCGGGCCUUGUGCCACUCCAUCUGAAAAAGCCGUGUGAAGAAUUUUCUCCUCAAGGGGAUUGGCAAGGACGUCACAUGAGACAGCCGGCAUUUCCCUCCCAGCUGCCCACCUGCCAUCCAGGAGCCACAGUUUGGAAAGACGCUGCACACAGAAACUGCUGAGAGCUCGGGUAUAAAAGGCUAAUUACUUCUUAUCGAAACAGUGUGCUUGUCAGUCCCUAACAGCUCUCGCUCGCUCUCUUCGCAGGAUGCAUUUGGAAAUUCUAAAAAAGGGGUUUCUGCCUUCUGUGAGUUUCCAUGCUACAGGAGUUGCUAGAAGUCUUGGGUCUGCUUUCCCUGAGGAAGCAGCCACUCUGCCUUCUGAGAUAACGUUUGGGAGAAGCGGUUUUAAAAAGCCAAAUACUUGGAAGUUCCUUCUCUCGUCCCAUCAGAGAGAAUUCCUUUAGGAGGCUCUGAGCGUCCACUCUUCCUGGGCUGUCAUCUAGAAGCAGAAUGAGAACUGGCCCUUGGAAACAGUCAUUUCUCACCAAGACCAGAGAGUGGCGGAAGGGUGGGGGUGGGGGCCGACAAAUUACAAAGAGGUGACGCCACAUCUGUCGGGCUCUGGGGUUCUCUUGUCAGGAGUAGGAUCUGAGCAUGGACCAAACGAGGACCUGCUCCCAGCAGGAGAACCAGGGGAGAUGAACCCGGCCUCCCACCACCUUCAACUCCGAGCCACGACUUCUGAAGCAUGGGGAAAGCCAUGGAGCAACUAGCUAAUGCUCUGAUUUACAGAUGAGGAUGCCAAGGCCCGGUGAGGAGUCUCACACAAGGUCACAGUUUCUGGCAAAAAGAGGGGAGAAAAAAAAAAAGGUAAAGAACAGCCAUCCCUGUCCAGGUCAUUGGCUAAUGGGGCAGAUGCUCAGUUGUCCCUGGUAUUCUCAGGUCCAGGGACCCUUCCUGGCAUCAGUAUGGACUUGCUGGCGGGCCCUGUCCCUGUUGGCUAGUGUCCAAUCAGAGCCGGUUUCUCCAAAGCAACACUCAUGCUUUUCAAGGAGCACCUGCUGAGACAGACUAGGCCGCAGUCUCUCACUCACAGGGCUUUUCUUACAGGCACAGCCAGGCUGGGCCCGCAGAAGCCCACACUCAGGGUUGGGGGAGGGGAGAUGCUUUGCUACAUUAAAGAUUAAGCCCUUUGUCAGAGAACAAGGACCUUCCCUUGGGCAUGCCAACGUCUGACCUGUGUUUGUCCAGCUCCACCGACAGACAGAGCUGGUGCCCAAGGAGGCCAAGUUGCUCUCUUUGGCAUCACUGACAUUGCUCUGAGAUGCUCAGGCACUCUCAAAAUGACCCUUUCCCAGCCAGGCCAGGCUGAUCUGGCCACCAUCGAGCCACACCUGAUUGGAUGGGGCUCCCCUGCUCUCUGAUGGUGGUUAAUCUCCCCAGCCUCUUUGGACCUGGGCUAGAAGCAGAGCAGACUGGAGGGAGGAGGCAGGGAAAGGGUCUACAUUUCCAUCUCCUCUCUGAUCAUCCAGCGGAAGAUGAUGCAGGAGAGGGGGCACAUUCAGAAGAAUGUCUAUGUGUCAGGACAGUGGAGACAACUGAGGAGCAGGAGAGAAGAGGAGGUGGUAGGGAAGCAGGCCUCUUCUGGUCUACCUCCCCGUGGCCACUACAGAAAUGCUGCUGGACAAGCUUCCAGGCCCCACCUGAAGUACCGCAUCUCCCCACACUGUGGAGAGCAACCUCGGUCAAAGGCAGCGACUUCUUAAGAGAGUUUGCACAGUGCUGGAUGCAAUGGGAGAAACGCAGAAGAGCAGCCUUGCUGGGGCGCCACUGCUUCCUAGGGCAGGAGUGAUGGAGAACAUGAGGUAUCAGGAGCUCUGGGUCCCCGGGGACGCAGAACCUGCAGUGUGAGGUCCCUGGCUAUGACAGGGCUCCUGGGAACACAGUUGAGGAUUGUGCUACAUUUCAUUUCCAAAGAAAUGCCCUGGGAGGGCUCAAUUGUCUUUAAAAAA